rnacentral:rRNA from 1 species
GCUUCUCUGAUGUUAGCGGCGGACGGGUGAGUAACACGUGGAUAACCUACCUAUAAGACUGGGAUAACUUCGGGAAACCGGAGCUAAUACCGGAUAAUAUUUUGAACCGCAUGGUUCAAAAGUGAAAGACGGUCUUGCUGUCACUUAUAGAUGGAUCCGCGCUGCAUUAGCUAGUUGGUAAGGUAACGGCUUACCAAGGCAACGAUGCAUAGCCGACCUGAGAGGGUGAUCGGCCACACUGGAACUGAGACACGGUCCAGACUCCUACGGGAGGCAGCAGUAGGGAAUCUUCCGCAAUGGGCGAAAGCCUGACGGAGCAACGCCGCGUGAGUGAUGAAGGUCUUCGGAUCGUAAAACUCUGUUAUUAGGGAAGAACAUAUGUGUAAGUAACUGUGCACAUCUUGACGGUACCUAAUCAGAAAGCCACGGCUAACUACGUGCCAGCAGCCGCGGUAAUACGUAGGUGGCAAGCGUUAUCCGGAAUUAUUGGGCGUAAAGCGCGCGUAGGCGGUUUUUUAAGUCUGAUGUGAAAGCCCACGGCUCAACCGUGGAGGGUCAUUGGAAACUGGAAAACUUGAGUGCAGAAGAGGAAAGUGGAAUUCCAUGUGUAGCGGUGAAAUGCGCAGAGAUAUGGAGGAACACCAGUGGCGAAGGCGACUUUCUGGUCUGUAACUGACGCUGAUGUGCGAAAGCGUGGGGAUCAAACAGGAUUAGAUACCCUGGUAGUCCACGCCGUAAACGAUGAGUGCUAAGUGUUAGGGGGUUUCCGCCCCUUAGUGCUGCAGCUAACGCAUUAAGCACUCCGCCUGGGGAGUACGACCGCAAGGUUGAAACUCAAAGGAAUUGACGGGGACCCGCACAAGCGGUGGAGCAUGUGGUUUAAUUCGAAGCAACGCGAAGAACCUUACCAAAUCUUGACAUCCUUUGACAACUCUAGAGAUAGAGCUUUCCCCUUCGGGGGACAAAGUGACAGGUGGUGCAUGGUUGUCGUCAGCUCGUGUCGUGAGAUGUUGGGUUAAGUCCCGCAACGAGCGCAACCCUUAAGCUUAGUUGCCAUCAUUAAGUUGGGCACUCUAAGUUGACUGCCGGUGACAAACCGGAGGAAGGUGGGGAUGACGUCAAAUCAUCAUGCCCCUUAUGAUUUGGGCUACACACGUGCUACAAUGGACAAUACAAAGGGCAGCGAAACCGCGAGGUCAAGCAAAUCCCAUAAAGUUGUUCUCAGUUCGGAUUGUAGUCUGCAACUCGACUACAUGAAGCUGGAAUCGCUAGUAAUCGUAGAUCAGCAUGCUACGGUGAAUACGUUCCCGGGUCUUGUACACACCGCCCGUCACACCACGAGAGUUUGUAACACCCGAAGCCGGUGGAGUAA